rnacentral:pre_miRNA from 1 species
AGUGCAAUUGCUUGAUCUUAUGGUAAGAGAUUGUUUAGCUUUGGAAGAAAUUGCCAAACUCUCUUCCAACAUGGCUGUAUCAUUUUGAAUUUCCAAUAGCAAU